CCUGCUUCUUCCUGCCCCCAUGCCAGGCACGGCACCAGCAGCGGCCCCACCUUCCUUCUGCAAAUGCAUUCUUCAAUUCUAGAAGGAAAUCAUAAGCGACUUGCCCGGGGAGGAUUGCUCAUGAGUGAGUAAAGGAAUAAACUUUAUGAUAAUUAUUAAUCAUUAUUAUUUUACUUAAGCACUAUAUCCCUCCUUUCAGAAGGCACUUAAGGGAGCACUUUGUUUUUUAAGGGCUGGAUGUUUGUCCCAUCCUCUACCAGGCCUCAACAUCUUCUGAAGGCAAGAGCCUGGAGGGUCAGCCCUGGAUCCAGGAACCCUAAAACUGUACAAGUCUUAGGCUUCAGGGAACUUGGAGCCAUUUCUGACAAUGCUUAGGAUUGCUCUCAGGAUGAAAUGAGCUAAUUCACAUUGAGUGUGGGGCACCCGGUACACACCAGAGGAGUGUCAGCUGUUCUCAUUAUGUGAAGGUG
rnacentral:lncRNA from 1 species